UAUCCUGGCUCAGGAUGAACGCUGGCGGCGUGCUUAACACAUGCAAGUCGAGCGAAGCACUUUGCUUUGAUUUCUUCGGGAUGAAGAGCUUAGUGACUGAGCGGCGACGGGUGAGUACGCGUGGGUAACCUGCUCAUACAGGGGGAUAACAGUUAGAAAUGACUGCUAAUACCGCAUAAGACCACAGCACCGCAUGGUGCAGGGGUAAAACUCCGGUGG
rnacentral:rRNA from 1 species